UUCUUCUUCAUCAUUAACCAAACAUUCCACCUGCUGGUGCAAGCUCUGGGGUCAUGACCUUGAGCAACGGUGUCUGUGCACUUAAUCGAUCUUGCAAUAUUUGAUCAUGUCAUGAUACAUGCUGUGAAGAGAUGAGACAGGGUGCAGCAGAGAAAGGCAUGGUAGUUUGGGGAGAAGAGUUAGAGUAGUUUCUGUAAACGGUUAACAAGAUUUCUCCUCUCUCCUCUGACAGGCUCCACCCCUACAGGAAGAGUUCCAGGCAAUGAGUCUUCCUCAGGGAUGAACCCCUUAAUUGGUAACAAAUGGUGCUAUACACGUGAGCAACACAAAAAACGGGCCCAACAGGUUGUGAGUAUGUGUAUGUGUGUAUAUAUACAUAUAAACAGAUACAUAUGUUAAUCUGUCCCUAUAUUAGACACAUACAUUGUAACAUGAACAGUGAAAGAAAAUGGGGUCAUGAGGUUGAGAGGGAUUAGGGGUGGGGAUGGCAUGGGAGAGAAGAGGGAGGGAGAGAUAGUUUAAAUACAAUACACAGAUAUGAAAUUUAAAAAUAAGUUGAGGGCUGGAGAGAUGGCUCAGUGGUUAAGAGCACUGACUGCUCAUCCAAAGGACCUGAGUUCAAUUCCCAGCAACCACAUGGUGGCUCACAACCAUCUACAAUGAGAUCUGAUGCCCUCUUCUGGUGUGUCUGAACACAGUAGUGUACUCACAUACAUGGAAUAAAUAAAUAAAUCUUUAAAAAAAAUAAGUUGAAUUUUUAAGAAACGAAAAGAACAACAUACACGGUAUGUGGUGAAGCUGGUACCUGGCUCGCCUAGUAUCUGUGAAACCCGGAGCCUUCACUCUCCAGCACUAUGGGGUAAACCAAACCCAACCGACCAAAAACUCGAAGCAUACAGAACAUAACUACUGACCAGGACGGUGUGGAUGGUGCUGUGAGAUAGAAUCCACAGACAUAACCAAGUUCAAACACAGGAGGACAAGGUCACAGACAUCUGCAAAGAGGAGGUUUGGUUUGUUAGGCCUUGCCUGAAUGGUGAGUCGGUUGUUCAUUUAGUUGUGAUGGGGAAAAGGAGGGGAACACGUAGGAGAGAAUCCCAAUGGUGAGCAAAUGAGAAGUCUCAUUUAGAUGCCAGGGACCUGGUAACUAAUACAGUACAGGCAGGAAGAGAUCCAAGCAGAUCCGAGAACAGGAUUCCAGAUUCUUUCUCCAUCAUCACUGCAAGGAUCUGGAUUUAGCUGGUCCAAGUUGCAGAUGCCUGUCAACCAGUCUCUGAUUCUGGCUUCCCUCCCUCUGGAAUGGAGUUGACAGUGCUUGCUACGGUGUAUUCAUGGAACUUGCUGGCCCUCCCCUUACUCUCCAACCUUUCAAGGGGUUGCUUUUCACUAAUUCACAGAGUAUUUGUUGGGGUCUACACCAAAGCAUGAGUCCCUGGUCUGUCUCCACCUGUGGUAAGUACUGAGAACCAAAGCAAAGCAAGGUAACGGGGCACAACAGGAGUGUGGCUUGGGACGGGGAAGGGGUGGGGGUUGGAGACAAGAUUGAGUGGAUGUCUUUCCUUCAAACAGGACAUCUGAGAAUCGACAUGAUGCGGGGAGAGCUUUUGAAAGCCAAGGGAAGAAUGAGGACAGGAAAGGGAGUUUGUGUUUAAAGACUGGAGAGGUGGCCAGUGAAACAGGAACCCAUCAGGCAAAAGGAGGAAAAUGAAAAACAUUGAGACCCCAGGAGCCAAGAAGGACAAUGGAAAAGCCAUUUGGAACCUGAAGAAAAGCAAGAACAGCCUAUAAAGGAGAUAGCCUAAAAGGAGGAUAUGAAGACUUCCAUUUGUACUACCAUAGCAGCUUCAGCUUUUAAAAGUGCCUCUCAAGUCUCUCCAUGACUCUCUUUCCCACGGCUGGUCAGGCCCUAUCCACAUCUCUCUUUGCGUCAUCCGUAUGGGUGAAGGGAAGGAAGGGGCGACCCCAGGAUACACACAGGCGCCACACAGGGGAAUCAUCAGGAGUCGUCUUGCCACUAAUCACUCUUGGGGCCCUUUGGGUUGGGUUGUCUUGGCCAGCCUGCAUGUGAUGGGUUUUGUUUAUCUUACUAUAUUGUAUUUUGUCAAUACAAAAAUAAGGUAGAACAGAAAAAGUCACUGUUAGUGAAUUUUGAGUUGAUUAGCGAUGUGCACUAAAAGUAUUUUGAAAAUUAUAAGGUGAUCACAAUGGGAAAUGAAACUAACAUUUUAAAAAAAGGGCUUGAUGGUUGAUUGCAUUAUGUUUUGGACUUAAAUGUUUAAGGUUUGGUCAGUCUCCUGUGGAGAUGUGCUAGGCAGAGACGGUAGCACCUUGGAGAGGUGGGAGGAGGUCAGAUCAUUGGGGCCAUGCCCUUGUAGGGUACAUUAGGGUCUCUGCCUCUAUUCCUGUGUGCUUCCUGUACACCACAGGGUGAGCGAUUCUGCUCUAUCAUGGUCCCCAUCGUGUUACCCCUCCCCCUUACUGAAG